AGGCCCCGUGCGCCGCAGGCCCCGCGCCGCCGCCUCCGGCCCCGCGCGCCGCCGUCCCGCACAGCCGCAGUCCCGGUCUCCCGCGCGGCGCGCAUGCUGGUGGAGUGGACCGUGGACGAGUGGUGGUUCUCACUGAGUCACUUCUCAGGUUCUGGCAAUCUGGUUACUGGUAAUACGGGACCUUGUUGCUUAAUUUGGUGCAGUCCAUAACUCCAUAUCAGUGUUUUUCUUCAAGCUGAGCUUAGCUUCAAAGAAUAAUUUCAUCUCUGUGGCAGUCUGGCAGACGAGAAACAGGAGGCAGCUAGGUAGUUUGGCAAAUGGCAAGGCAAUUUGUUGCCUAACACGAGCACUGCAGUACCUCGGGCAUCAGGCGGCUAGCUCAUCUGCAGGUGUAGCUCCAAGCACUCACAAAAAUACAUUUUCAUGUCCUUUUAGCUAGAAUGGUACAGAUCACAGAUGCAUAUAUGCUUACUACUACCAGUGUAGCGUGUUUUGUUGUAAUGUCAGGCUUUGUAUAUAGAAUUUUCUUUACCAUGUUAGGGUGUAAAUAAAAAUUGUUGCGCUCGAAUGCUUGAUCUAGCUUGAAUAUUGUGUUUA